rnacentral:rRNA from 1 species
GAUUUCUGGUAGACCUUCCUGGCCCGCAGCUCUAGGGUUGUGAGUGCUGGUAAGAGUCCUCCAUCCUUGUAGAGAGCCGCGCCUGCUGUUCACUCAGCUGGGCGCGUGCGAUCUACAUCUUUUACUUUGAAAAAAUUAGAGUGUUUAAAGCAGGCUUACGCUGUGAAUACAUUAGCAUGGAAUAAUAAUUUAGGACUUCGGUCUCUAUUUUGUUGGUUUCUAGAGCUGAAGUAAUGAUUGAUAGGGAUAGUUGGGGGUGCUAGUAUUCAUCGGCCAGAGGUGAAAUUCUUGGAUUCGAUGAAGACUAACUUAUGCGAAAGCAUU